rnacentral:rRNA from 1 species
UACAGAGGCCUCGAGCGUUGUUCGGAAUUACUGGGCGUAAAGAGAACGUAGGUGGUGACGUAAGUCAGAUGUGAAAGCCCCGGGCUUAACCUGGGAAGUGCAUUUGAUACUGCGUUGCUGGAGUGCGAGAGAGGAAAGCGGAAUUCCAAGUGUAGGAGUGAAAUCCGUAGAUAUUUGGAGGAAUACCGAUGGCGAAGGCAGCUUUCUGGCUCGCAACUGACACUGAGGUUCGAAAGCGUGGGUAGCAAAC